rnacentral:lncRNA from 1 species
CAGAAACUGGAGUCUAAAGAGAGCAAGCGAUUUCCCUAAAGUCGUAUGUUGAUUCAACAACAAGAAAAUUUGAGGUCAUCAGAUCAUCAUUACCAACCUUUCUCCCCUAGAACUCUAUUGUCAUUUUGUUUGCCUGAGAAUCCCACAGAGGUAAAUAUAACCCCCACCUUACUGACACAGACCUUGGCUUUGGACAUGCUUCGUCCUGUGGAACGUGAGUAGUUAUAACAUUUGCCAUCUCUGCAUGGAAGCUCUAAGUGGAACUGUGUUCCUGGGCCCUGCCAUGAAAACAGCACUUCCCGCACGUGAACACCACCAUCAUGCCGGGCCCUGGGUGAGAAGCCAGAUAGAGUAAAAUUCAGCUCAGCAGCUCCAGAUCAGUCUCACUUAGAGCACUGUGAGGCUGCAUACUAAUGGGAAUCUUGGCACUGGCAAGCAGAGAUAUAUGGAACAUGUGUGCAACUGUCCACCAAACAUGAUGGCUUUUCAGGAUUACCAAUCCUGUAUGGCAACAACAAACAGUGGUCCCAGGGACGUGGCUUCCCAACAUGGCAAUUCAACACAAUUUGUAGGCCUAAUCACCACCUGGAAAAACUCAAGAUUCCAUCAAACACAACUUCCACACUUCAGAGCUGGGGAGACUGAGGCCAAGAAGGUAGGUGGGGGUGCCAUGGUCACACAGCAUAUAAGGGUAGGA